rnacentral:rRNA from 1 species
AUGUGGGUCAGUUCAUCUUGUCCGGUUUGUCAGUUCUGUCAGAAGCUGUCUGAAGCUCCUACAAAUCCUACAUGUUCUGUUUGCCAGACCUCUGAAAACCUCUGGAUCUGUGUGAUAUGUGGUUUUGUUGGAUGCGGAAGGUACAAAGAAGGGCAUUCAACCAGGCACUGGAAAGGCACUCAGCACUGCUAUUCUCUCGAUUUGGAAACUCAACGUGUUUGGAAUUAUGUUGGUGACAGUUAUGUCCAUCGACUCAAUCACUCAAAAAGCGAUGUAAAGCAUGCUAAGUUCAGUUCAAAGUGUGAAUAUCCCGAGGACAACUGCGUAAACUGUAUGCACGAGGACUCAGAUAUGGGUGGAGUUAUGUUUAGCAGAAAGCGGACACAAUUGUGGAUGAAUACAAUCGUCUUUUAG